ensembl:snRNA U6 U6 spliceosomal RNA
AUGCUCACUUCAGUGGCACAUAUACUAAAAUUGUAAUGAUACAGAGAAGAUUAGCAUGGCUCCUGUGCAAGUAUGACAAAUAUGACAAAUAAAUAUGACAAGUAUGA